UUUAGGAUUACUGGGUGACACGAAUGUACAAACAGCUUGUAGGCGAUCGCGUUUUCAAACUGAACGGCAGUCCAAAUGUAAACCUUCGUUAUUAUGCUCAUUGCACCAGAUAUCCCAGUCCCUUGGGUUACGCUAAAGGAAGUGUGACUGUAUAUUUAAUGAAUCUAGGAAGUAGUGCAAUAACUGUUAAUAUUAAUGGUGCCAGUAACCAACAUCUGUAUAUGCUAUCUCCUGGAGAUAAUAACGGUCUGAGAUCAGCGUACAUAAAACUGAAUGGCAAUGUACUCAGGAUGACAAGUGAUUCCUAUAUACCACAGUUUACUCACGUGCAACACAGAGGAUCUGUAAGGGUGGAAGGUUAUAAUAUGGGUUUUAUCGUUUUAACUGAUAUCAGAAAAGUAGAAUGCCUGUAAACAUAAUACCUGUAAUAAUAAAGUUUCGAAAAUAUA